rnacentral:lncRNA from 1 species
GACCGCGUCCGAAGACCGCCGAGGCCUCCCGCAGCUCCGCGGUGACACCCGGGUCAGGGGCGCGGGGCCGGGCGCCGGGGAUUGUGGGAGGCGCGGGGGGGCGCGCCGGCCGCCUUCGGAGCCCCCCAACUCGCGUCCUGCAAAGGCCGCCGGGCCCUGUCGAGAAGACCCGACCGCAGAUGGCGGGGAGGAUGCUCCCGGCGGCGUGGGAACCGGGUCUGACUCCCGAGCCACCGCCGCUUCCGCAGGGGCGCCGGCCCCGGGAAAGUCAAGUCAUAAAUCCCUGAAUCUAAAACUCCAUUCUCAGAGAAAAGGCCUCCAAGGACGGGCGCCGUGCGCGGCAACUGCCUGCAGUUUUGAAGCCCUUUGACUAUUUCAUAACAAAGACAAGGCCGGGCGGCUUGGACGCUUAGGAAAAUCCUGGGGCUUUGCAAAAACAACAGGUUAAUCUAGUCGUGUGGGAUGAUCACCAAAACAAGACAGGAAAGAAGAACACCGUGUCAAUGCUGAAAAGCCAGCCCCUGUGAGCCCCAAAGUGCACGUUUUCCACAGUCCCAAGGAACACGUGACUGUGUGUUUCCACACUUGAGAAGUCAGGAUAAGACCCCUUGGAUAAUGGAACAGGGGAUGGGGGUGGGAGCAAGCACCCUACCUGGUCACCUGCUUAACUUAGAAACCAGCUUUUAAAACCUGUAACUGCAGUAUGAGCUACGAUCAAAUUUGUCUUAACGUAUUUUUUUUAAUGUUUUUAAUACCCAGAACACAGGGCUUCUACUCCAGGGUUUCCUCGCCAGGGAACCCCAAACACACAGGACCUGGAGAAGCCGGGUAGAGCUGGCUCCUGGCCCUGCGCUUGGGUGGUCGGCUGCCUUAAGAAGAACUGCACCCCAGAGACAGGCUCGCAGCUGCCGACCUUAUCCACUCGCCCUUUCUGCUGGAGCCCAGGCCCAGUGCUCCAGCAAGGAGGCUGAGAAAAUGCUGAAGACUGAUGCCCACGGGGGACAGCUUGGGCUAAGGAUAACGUUUGCAAAACAAACCUUUAAAAACCCAUAGCAACCUGUUUCCUAGAGCACACUCUUCAUCUCUCCACCCCCAAACUAGUCCCGACUCGGAUCCUCCUUUUCCUAUCCUCUUUCUCUUGCUCUCCCGUCUCCUAUUCACUUUUCUUCUCCUUUCCUCUUGAUUAUUAUAAACAAAUGCUUUCCAAGUCUUACCGCCAUCAUAUGUGUACAUAUGCAACCCUUACUGUUACCAAUUUGUUGAAGUCAAGACAGGAGGAGGCAAAGUUUAAAAAUCAGAAGUAUUGCAGGAAAUGAAAAUGGAGUGAGUGUUGCCUGGGUAUCAUAAUUUUUUUUUUUUUUUUAACAGUUCCUCUACUUGGCUCUCCUCCAAAGGUACGCGGCCACAGCAGGCAGGGGCUUGGCAGUGUGGGAGGAGACACCACAGAAGACAGGGAAGAACUACCAGGCCUUGGUUCAUCUCCACACUGGCGAGAGAGGACGUGCAGUUACCUGCUACCUGUUCGACUCAGUCUUUUACGUUGGAGUAACUUAACACAUUGCUGCCCUUAACUUUGACUUACUUGCUUUUAAAGAUGAUGAAGCUGGCCAGGCGCCGUGACUCAUACCUAUAAUCCCAGCAUUUUGGGAGGCCCAGGCAGGUGGAUCACGAGGUCAGCAGUUCAAGACCAGCCUGGCCAACAUGGUGAAACCCUGUCUCUACCAAAAAUACAAAAAUUAGCUGGGCGUGGUGGCGCGUGCCUAUAAUCCCAGCUACUCAGGAGGCUGAGGCAGGAGAAUCACUUGAACCCGGGAGGCAGAGGUUGCAGGGAGCCGAGAUCGCACCACUGCACUCCAGCCUGGGCAAUAGAGCAAGUCUCCAUCUAGGGAACAACAACAACAAAAAGAUUAUGAAGCCUUAGGAAGAACAGGGAUAUUCACCUGCUGCUGAGCCCCCCUCCGCUUUGAUCUUGUGAGUCUGCACUCUCCUGCUCCCCUGUCUCAGUCUCCUCUAGCUCCUGUUCCUUCUCCUACCUUGUGUUCUCUGCCAAUGAUAUGACUGGGGCUACUUUCUUUUUUCCUUCUCACACUCUCUUCUUGCUAAUUUCAACCAAUUUCCCUGCAUCAUCUCCACCUGCAAGCUGGUCCUUUACAGCAGAGCUUGGGGCCCUGCUGCCCAGUAGCACUCUGGACACCCUCACAUCAUCAUCAUCAUCCUAUUUUUAUUUAUUUUUUGGAAACAGGGUCUUGCUCUGUCGCCCACACUGGAGUGUAGUAGUGCAGUAGUGCGAUCACGGCUCACUGCAGCCCCGAUGUCCCUGGGCUCAGAUGUUCCUCCCGCCUCAGCCUCUGGAAUAACUGGGACCAUAGAUCCCUUCCACUGUGCCUAAUUUUUGUUUUUUGUUUUUGUUUUUGUUUUGAGACGGAGUCUCACUCUUCUUGCCCAGGCUGGAGUGCAGUGGCAUGAUCUCGACUCUCUGCAAACUCUGCCUCCCGGGUUCAAGUGAUCUCCUGCCCCACCCUCCCGAGUAACUGGGAUUACAGGCACGCACUACUGUGCCCAGCUAAUUUUUGUAUUUUUAGUAGAGACAGGGUUUCACCAUGUUGGCCAGGCUGGUCUCAAACUCCUGACCUCAAGUGAUCCGCCCACCUCGGCCUCCCAAAGUGCUGGGAUUACAGGCAUGAGCCACCACGCCCGGCCUAAUUUUUGUUUUGUUUUGUUUUUUUGUAGAGACGGGGUUUCAACCAUGUUGACCAGGCUGGUCUCAAAUUCCUGAGCUUAAGCAAUCAGCCUGUCUUGGCCUCCCAAAGUGCUAGGAUACAGGCGUGAGCCACCACGCGGGGCCUUCAUCACCCUAUUAAUAUAUACUUUCUGAUACUUAAUUGCCAGGCAAUAAGCUAAACCCUUUUAUUCACUGUCUCACUUUAAUCCUUACAGGGAAGUAUCGGCUGCCAGAUAGGGAGCUGAGACUUCAAGAAGCUAAAUAAGGUGUCCAACACCACAGAGCAUGGAGCAAAGGACACGGGACUGCAAAUCUUCCUAACUCGUGUGCUCAUCUGGCUAUCUCACCAGGGCCUUAAAUUUAAUAUAUCCCAAACUGAACUCAUCUUUACCCCUUCCCACUUUGCACUCCUCAAAUGUCCUUGUUUAAAAUAGUUACCUUUAUCUUUCCUAACCCAGAAACUCAAAACCUGGCAUCAUCUUUGACUUCUCUCUUUACCUUCACAUUCAACAGUUUCCAAGACUUAAAGGCUUUAUUUGUAGGAUCUCUACCACUGAUCCUCUACAGUUUCACACCUACAUCCCAUUCUCGUUCCCAAAUCCCCAUAACUCCUCUCCUGGCCCAUCCCUUAACACUGAAAUCCUGGCUUGGAAAAUAUGGUCACAUUCACAGCAGCUGUCCCCAAGAAGGAAGCCAAGGCAACAGUAUGCACAAUGAAAUCACUCUGGGAGAAACUCACUGCCAUGUUGUGACAACACUAUGGAGACGCCCAGGUGAGGGACUGAGGCUUCCUGCCAACAGCCACAUGAAUAAGAUUGGGAACAGAUCCUCCAGCCCCAGUCAAGCCUUCAGAUGACUGCAGUCUCAUGAAAGACCCUGUGCCAAAACCACCCAGCUUGAUGAAAUAAUCUGUACAACAAACCCCCAUGACACAAGUUUACUACAACAAACCUGCACAUGUACCCCUGAACUUAAAAGUUAAAACAAAACCACCACCACCACCACCACCACCCAGAAAAAACACCCAGCUAAGCCACUUCUGAAUUCCUAACCUACAGAAACUAUGAAAUAAUAAAUAUUUGUAUUUUCAAAAUUAGCUGGGUGUGGUGCCAUGUGCUUAUAAUCCCAGCUACUUGAGAGGCUGAGGCAUGAGAAUCACUUGAACCUGAGAGGCAGAGGUUGCAGUGAGCCAAGAUUGUGCCACUGCAAUCCAGCCUGGGCAGCAGAGCGAGA